UAGAUMCCCUGGUAGUCCACGCUGUAAACGAUGUCGAUUUGGAGGUUGUGCCCUUGAGGCGUGGCUUCCGGAGCUAACGCGUUAAAUCGACCGCCUGGGGAGUACGGCCGCAAGGUUAAAACUCAAAUGAAUUGACGGGGGCCCGCACAAGCGGUGGAGCAUGUGGUUUAAUUCGAUGCAACGCGAAGAACCUUACCUGGUCUUGACAUCCACAGAACUUUCCAGAGAUGGAUUGGUGCCUUCGGGAACUGUGAGACAGGUGCUGCAUGGCUGUCGUCAGCUCGUGUUGUGAAAUGUUGGGUUAAGUCCCGCAACGAGCGCAACCCUUAUCCUUUGUUGCCAGCGGUUAGGCCGGGAACUCAAAGGAGACUGCCAGUGAUAAAYUGGAGGAAGGUGGGGAUGACGUCAAGUCAUCAUGGCCCUUACGACCAGGGCUACACACGUGCUACAAUGGCAUAUACAAAGAGAAGCGACCUCGCGAGAGCAAGCGGACCUCAUAAAGUAUGUCGUAGUCCGGAUUGGAGUCUGCAACUCGACUCCAUGAAGUCGGAAUCGCUAGUAAUCGUAGAU
rnacentral:rRNA from 1 species